UACGUAGGGUGCUAGCGUUAUUCGGAAUUACUGGGCGUACAGGGUGCGUAGACGGUUUAUUAAGUCGGUUGUUAAAGACCCCGGCCUAACUGGGGAGAUGCGAUCGAAACUGAUAGACUAGAGGUUGGAAGAGAGGAGUGGAAUUCUCGGAGUAGCGGUAAAAUGCGUAGAUAUCGAGAGGAACACCAAUGGCGAAGGCAGCUCCUUGGUCCACACCUGACGUUGAGGCACGAAAGCGUGGGUAGCAAACAGG
rnacentral:rRNA from 1 species